GCCCGCGUGGCUCAAUUGGUAGAGCAACUGAUUUGUAAUCAGUAGGUUGGGGGUUCGAGUCCCUCCGCUGGCA
rfam:Neorickettsia helminthoeca str. Oregon, complete genome.